AAGCGACCAAGCGUACACGGUGGAUGCCCUGGCAGUCAGAGGCGAUGAAGGACGUGCUAAUCUGCGAAAAGCGCCGGUAAGGUGAUAUGAACCGUUAUAACCGGCGAUGUCCGAAUGGGGAAACCCAGUGUGACUCGUCACACUAUCAUUAACUGAAUCCAUAGGUUAAUGAGGCGAACCGGGGGAACUGAAACAUCUAAGUACCCCGAGGAAAAGAAAUCAACCGAGAUUCCCCCAGUAGCGGCGAGCGAACGGGGAGGAGCCCAGAGCCUGAAUCAGCAUGUGUGUUAGUGGAAGCGUCUGGAAAGGCGCGCGAUACAGGGUGAG
rnacentral:rRNA from 4 species